AAAUACCUAGAGGUAUACAGGAGGGUCUUGUUUGAUCUCCAGGAGUGUUCACACAAGGCCUGGGAAAAACCUGGGAGCUGUGGUUUUGCUUCCAGCAGAGCAACUUCCCAAUGAAGGCUGUGUGUCUCCAAGGACAAAAAUAUGCAGCAUGUUCACAUCUGGGUCCUUCUUGAAUAUGUUGGGCUUGGCGUGGUGUUGGAAGUGACGAUGGUUCCACCAGUUUGCAGAGGCUCCCUGGGCAGACACAAGGACAAGGAGCUCAUCUAGGAGAAACUACACUUCCCCUAAUGGGUCCGGAAAUCCUCCACCAGCUGGGACUGCAAAAUAGACAUGAAAGACACAGAAUGGAGCUUAGCUGCCUGUAGAGAAGAAACCUUUCUGAUCUGCCUCUGACCUGGAG